rnacentral:sRNA from 2 species
GAUCCAAGGGCGCUGAUCCGUUCGGCAGGAGCGGGGGACCCACUUUCGGACCCGGCAACAGCCGAGUCCUUGGGGUGUAGCCGGCAAUCCGGGCUCGCGAGAGCACGGCGCGCCGGCCGGGCAGUCCCAGCCCGAACCCGACAGCUCACCCCGCAGGCGCAGGGAAGGAUCG